CAUCCAGUCUUGAUGCAUCCAUUUCAAUACAUAUAAAUCUAGCAUGUUAUUUUUUUAAAUUUAUUUUUUUAUACAGCAGGUUCUUAUUAGUUAUCUAUUUUAUGCAUUAAUGUAUAUAUGUCAAUCCCAAUCUCCCAAUUCAUCCCACCAACACCACCCCCAGCAUGUUCUUUUUAACAGAUAUAUAAUAUCCUGUUGUGUGGCUGUUUUAUAGCUAAUUUAACCAGCCCCCUGUUGAGUAUGCAAAUUGUAUUUCACUUUAGCUAUUUAUAAAAUGCCACAGUAAAUAUCCUCUAAGUCUUUGUGCAUGGGUGAAGUACAUUUGUAGGCUAACUUCUUGGAAGUAGAAUUGUUGGGGUAAAGGCUGUGUGUAUUUUUAAUUUUCAUAAAUUCUGCCUAAUUGCCAUUCAAAAAAGUUGUACCUAAUUACACUCGCACUGAUAACUUUGAUAGUUUAGCCACAUUUAUUGAAAGAGUUGUCAACAGUUGCUUUCUCCACCUCUUCACCUCCUACUUACAGCACAACUCACUCUAACUUGGCUUCUCUCCACCACUUCACUUUAAAAGGAUCUAAGGAGAGGUUGACCGCUCUCUCCUUUCUGAAACACUCUUGCCCUGGCUUUUAUAAUACCGUACUUGCCUGGUCUUCCUCUGCCCACUUGUGAAUGUUGGUGCUGCUUAGGGCUUCAGUUACCAUCUGCAUGCAGAUGACCCCCACAUUAUUUCCUUCUUCCUAAUCUUUAUCCACCUGCUUAUUUGCCAUCUUGAUGUGCACGCAUGUCCCACAGGCACCUCAGAUUCAACAUGCCCAACAUCCUCCUCCUCUGGUGCUCCCUUCUCAGCAGCUGUUCCACUGCUGUCCAGUGGUCCUAGCCAGAAACCUGCAAGUCAUUUUUGAACCUCACUGUCCCUCAACCUUCACCUCCAGUCAAUCACCAUGUCCCUGCCCAUUCUAUCUCCAUAAUGCCUCUCAAACUAUCACGUCUCUCAUCAUCUCCCCACACUACCCAAGUCCAGGUCCUCACUGUGUACCACCUGGACACUGCAAUGACCUUCUAAUUGCCUCCCUGGCUUUAGACUUACUACUCUCCAAACCAGUCUCCACCCUGUAGCCAGAGUGAGCUUUGAAAAAUGCAGGUCUGAUUAUGUUACAGUCCUGCUUAAAACCCUUUACUAAGUUCUGAUUGCACUUAGGGUAAAGACAAAUAAAUCUCCCCUGGCUGAUUAGGCCUUGGCAGCCUAACUGUUGUCACUACCAACCCCCUCCUUCAUACUGUAAUUAGUUUCUUGAGUGUUUUAUGCUCCUUCCCACUCAGAGUUUUUGUCUUUGCUGUUCCUUCCUGCCUGGAAUACUCUCUCUUUCCCUCCUGCCUUGACCUGGCAAACACCUUCUCAAUAAGUAGGUCUCAGCAUAAAUUUAACUUGUUUGAGGAUGCCUUCCAAGACCCUGAGACUUAUGCCCAGUGCCUAACACAAGGGUUGGUACAUGUUGAGAGCUCAAUAAAUAUUUACUAAUGAACAAGCGAAGGCCUCAAGGCCUGGUGGGUGAUUACCAGACUGCAGUUUUUCACAUGACCUCUGGGUGUCACCCUUGGCCUCAACUUAACCAGGUCUUGGCUGGGAACCCAGAAGGAAGGGCAGAUUUGAUGCCCAGCCUGGCCCCAUCCAUCCAGCAAACUGGGAAAGGUUAUGGGAAGCCCAGCUACUUCCUGGGUCUGACACGUUCUCCAUCUGCUGUGGGUCAGCUGGCUUGAUAGGGUGACUGAUCAUACCAGUUUUCCCAAGACUGAACUGCCUGUGCUCCCAGGAUGUGGAAAUUUUAGUCGUAAACCUGGGACAAUCCCAGGCAAAUCAGGAGGAUUGGUCACUGAACCAUGGACAGAGGGGUUGAAACCCCCACCAAUGCACUAGACUAAGGUCUAGGCCCAGCAGCAGAGCUGGCUCCAACCCAGCCAAGCUCCUUGCAGCAACACCACUGGUGGGCUGACCCUGUAGCCUGGUGGUUGUAAGAAUUUAGGGAAAGUAUAUAUACUUUAAAGGAAUAUAAAGAGACCAACUUAUGUCUGACAAUGUCUACCAUUUAUUCAGUGCUGCUGGGCAUAACAUACUUAUACAUAUCUUUUCUAAUCCUCACAGAAACCCUAAGAGUACAGAAGAUUGUUUUCCUUUCAGAGACUAGAAAACUGAGACUCGAGACCAGACUCAAGUAACCAGACCAAGUCACGCAGCUGUUAAGUAACAUGGUGAAAUUCAAACCCUUAUCUGUCCGAGUACAAAGCUUCAGCUAUUUUCACUGAAUCUUUAGCCUGGCCAUUUCCUUCCUUCUCUAGUCACUAUUUGAGAGCCCCAGGAGUGUGAGUAGGAGGCAAGAGGCAGGUGUGGGUGGAAAGGGUUGAGGAAGAGGGUCUGUGAUCAGGGCCUGAGUGGGGGGUAGGGGAUCCACAUAGCAUUGACAGCUUGCCUGUCCACAUCAGAGAAGUCUCUGCUGUCUUGAACUAGGUGUGGGCAUAGCCUGGGGGCUCCAGGGAGGCCCCUUCACAGGCUGUCAUCCUGACACCAGGCUGUAUAUUCGUCAAGAAGCCAAGGCUAUGUUUCCCAGAGUCCAGGAUGAACCCAACCAGGCCUUAUCUGAUUGCAAAUGGACAUCUGGACAUGAGAGAGGCACAGGGGAGGGGCCAUCAGGAGCUAGCCAUAAACUCAAGAGAUAAGUGAGGGGUGGGGGGAUGGGUGGGGAUGUGACAAGGGUCAUGGUAAGUACAGUGCCUUGCCCAGAGUUUAGGCUCAGUGAGUGUUGCAAUUAAUGAGAUAGCCAACUGCCCCUCUUUCCUAGAAAUAUUUGUAAGGCUGAGUUUUAUUUUUGCCCAGAUGGUUGUUUAGGAAUUGAACUGCUUUUGAAUACAAAACAAGAGUUGGUUGUGUAGAAGCAUGAGCAGAGGCCUGACUUUGGUUGUGUGGAAGAAUGGGCAGAGGCCUGACUAGGCUGUGCAGUGGUCAGAGCCCUGAUGAACACUUAUUGGUCUGGCAGCCAGAUAUCCGCUCCACAGGAGGUGUGAUAAGCCAGACUCUGGGAUUCCUUUACAUUAAAAGACAAAAUGCAGGCAUCCUUCAAGAAUUUUAAGUUCUCCGGCAGGAAGGUGCUUUGGGCUGUGCUGUUUUACUUUAUUUUAUUGGUGAUGUCCAAAGAUUUUUAGGGUGCAAGAUCUGUCCUGGAUCAUCUUGGCCUCAAACCUGCCAGCCCCUGGCACUGGUGUGGCCUGGCACCCCAUGGCCAGGUUCUUCCCUGUGGCUCUACUCUGCCAGCCAAGCCAUCAGAUGGGUGGUACCUAAGCAAGUCUUACCCAGAGUUGGGCCAUGUCUCUGCUCUUCCCUAGCUGGCUUUCCAGCUUCCACUAGAGAACUGGGCCUUGUACACUCUAGGGAAGGCUGAGGAUCUGGGCGUAAAGCAGGGGCAGAGAGAAGAGAAACCUUGCUUAAGCUGCCUUGUCCACAGGAUUCCUCUUUCCUUCAUUCUGAAAAUACCUAGUUCCAACUGUGAUGAAAGGGAAGAGGAAUUUGUGAAAGUUACCAAUACUGUACCAUCACAUUGAUGUGGGACCUCUUGCCAGGAGCUCAUGGAAGACAGUGACCUGGUGCAGUGGAAAGCACAAGACUUUAGGCCAUGGCAACAAAGGGCCUUGUGCUCACUACAGCAGAGCAUCCUGUCUUUGUCCAAUCCAGCCCAGAACAUCAGUCUCUGCAAAUAACAAAAGAUGUGGCCACUCGGCCGCCUGUCGGUGCCCCCACUGGAGCACUGAGAAGGGUUGAGGCCUCUCCAACUGGAACUGAACUAGGAGGAGAGCAGCAGACAGACAGGAAGCCCCUCUGUAGCAGGAACUGAUUCAACCUUUGCUCCUUUAGCCCUCAGUAGAUGGAAAUGCUGAAGCUCCCACGUCCUCUGUGCUUCUCUUUCUGAACACUCUUCCCUGGGUGAGCUCAUCCUUGCUUUUGGCUUCAGGUCCCACCUCCUGGAGGAAGACUUCUAGAGAAGAGAGUCUAGAAGACUCCCUAACCUCUGACGCACCCCAGAUGAGCACCCCAGUCUGAGCCCAUCGUAUAAAUUCCUUCCUUCUUGACAGUAACUGGUUUAGGAAUGGGGUUAUACCCAGUGAGACUAAGAGGACACUUGCUGGGGGGCUUCUGGGAAAGGUUUUUUCACUCCUAGGAGAGAAUCACUGGAAGCGACAUUCCCAGUGGCUCUCUUCCUGGGAAUGUUGUCAAGUCUAGAUAUGUCCUGGACCUACUGAACCUGGUGUGCUCCCAAGCUGAGAAUGGAGCCAACAGCAGGGAUGGCAGAGUGGAGAGCUGGAAGAAGUCUUUGUCCUUGAGGGCAUGAGUGCCCUGCCAUCCCUGGAGGCCACCCUAAUGCUGAACAAGGGAAAUUAAAUAUUGUCACUGCUGAAGCUAUUGAGAGUGGGCUUUCUGAUAUUUUGUGGUAGAAAGCAUCCUUACUAAUAUAACCAGGGCAGCAUUACGACUUUUGUGGGCCCCUUCCUACAGAACAAUUUCUUUUUUUUUUUUUUUUUUUUUCAGUUUGCAGGCCUCUCACUGUUGUGGCCUCUCCCGUUGUGGAGCACAGGCUCCAGAC